rnacentral:rRNA from 1 species
UACGUAGGGUGCAAGCGUUAAUCGGAAUUACUGGGCGUAAAGCGUGCGCAGGCGGUUUUGUAAGUCUGUUGUGAAAUCCCCGGGCUCAACCUGGGAAUGGCGAUGGAUACUGGCGAGCUAGAGUGUGUCAGAGGAUGGUGGAAUUCCACGUGUAGCAGUGAAAUGCGUAGAGAUGUGGAGGAAUACCGAUGGCGAAGGCAGCCCCCUGGGAUAAUACUGACGCUCAUGCACGAAAGCGUGGGGAGCAAACAGG